GUAAAAUGGCUGAGUGAAGCAUUAGACUGUAAAUCUAAAGACAGAGGUUUACAUCCCUCUUUUUACCN
rnacentral:tRNA from 1 species